rnacentral:misc_RNA from 1 species
AUGUGUUUUUUAUUGAACAAAUUUCUUUGGUGGCGGGAGCAAUCCUACCGCCAGAGGUUAUAACUAAACCAAACUUUUUAUUUACAGUCAAACUUGAUUUAUUAUUACAAUAGUCAAAACUUUCAACAACGGAUCUCUUGGUUCUCGCAUCGAUGAAGAACGCAGCGAAAUGCGAUACGUAAUAUGAAUUGCAGAUAUUCGUGAAUCAUCGAAUCUUUGAACGCACAUUGCGCCCUUUGGUAUUCCAAAGGGCAUGCCUGUUUGAGCGUCAUUUCUCCCUCAAACCCCCGGGUUUGGUGUUGAGCAAUACGCUAGGUUUGUUUGAAAGAAUUUAACGUGGAAACUUAUUUUAAGCGACUUAGGUUUAUCCAAAAACG